GUGGAGAAACAUGGGGCUAAAUGAUGAUCUUGAAAAGGGCCCUCACUCGUGAGCCUUCGCCAUGUGCCAGUCACUAUGCUGAGCACCUUGCAGGUCUUGGGUGUUUAUUUAUAUAAAUAAACAGAGGAGAACCGUUUAUGAACCUAUGGCAAGAGGAUGGCGUGAAUAAGGGAUCAUGAUUAAUAGAAUUCAGAGACAAAGGGAGAGAAAACAAACAAAAAACACCUCUGGAACUUGUUGGAGCUCUUGGAAAAGAAAAGCUGUGAGUGGAUGUUCAAGAGGGUAACCUAGGGCCUCAUGCAUUGGGGCAUUCAGAAGUUUCGUACUGGAUCAAAAACAACGAAUGAAGCCUGCAGUGCAGAGAAAACAUUGUGAUAUGAGGGUCUUGCUGUGAUGACUGGAGCUGUGGCAGCCACCUUGUGACCAUGAGGGAAAAGCCAAGAGACUAGUUGAGAAGCCAACUGAGAGUUUUACCGCCAACUGAGAGUUUUACCUCCAUUGAGCUGCUGGAUUUGCCAACUCUAGAACCACUCAUUCUGGGUAUCUCAUUAGGCAAGAUAAUAAAUUUCUCAUUAUUCAAGCUGUUUUCAUUGGUCUUUCUGUUACUCACAGACAAAGCAUGACAAUUGAAGUACUCAGUGAGGAAUGUGGUGAAGUUGCCUGAAGUCACACCCUUGCCAGGAAUAGUGGAAGGCUAUAUGGGCUUUGUGAGCCCACUCCCUCACCAGGGGGCUUUGCCCUUUCCAUCCAGGAGGUUCAAAUCCAGCCUCAAACCUUUCUAGACAAAAUAUCUGUCAAAAGAGUAUGAUAAAACAGAGCAUCUCUGUUUAUUCCUCAAUAAGAGAUAGAGAGAGAGAUGAGGACACUCUACCUAAGGUGUGUGCUGGAGGAAAUGUAACUUCUGUCCUCUAAACAGAAAUAAGCACGAGUCUCUCCCGUAUCCCUGGCAGCCUCCACCUGGGAGCUUUUAUUCCUGCCCAUGUUUGCACUUCAUGGAACCAGGAGUUCC
rnacentral:lncRNA from 10 species